rnacentral:rRNA from 1 species
GAUUAACGCUAGCGGCAGGCCUAAUACAUGCAAGUCGAACGGGAUUUCGGGUAGCAAUAUCUGAAUGAGAGUGGCGCACGGGUGCGUAACACGUAUGCAAUCUGCCUCUGACUGGGGAAUAGCCUUCCGAAAGGAAGAUUAACACCGCAUAAAAUAAUGAAGUGGCAUCACUUUAUUAUCAAAACUCCGGUGGUCAGAGAUGAGCAUGCGUCCGAUUAGCUAGUUGGGGAGGUAACGGCUCACCAAGGCGACGAUCGGUAGGGGGUCUGGGAGGAUGACCCCCCACACUGGUACUGAGACACGGACCAGACGCCUACGGGAGGCAGCAGUAAGGAAUAUUGGACAAUGGUCGCAAGACUGAUCCAGCCAUGCCGCGUGAAGGAUGAAUGCCCUAUGGGUUGUAAACUUCUUUUAAACGGGAAAAAACCCCUCUACGUGUAGAGGGCUGAUGGUACCGUAAGAAUAAGGAUCGGCUAACUUCGUGCCAGCCGCCGCGGUAACAC